AGUAGCGCACGGGUGCGUAACACGUAUGCAACCUACCUAUAACUGGGGGAUAGCCUCCCGAAAGGGAGAUUAAUACCGCAUAAUAUUAUUGAGUGGCAUCACUUGAUAAUUAAACCUCAGGGGGUUAUAGAUGGGCAUGCGUCCGAUUAGCUAGUUGGUGAGGUAACGGCUCACCAAGGCUACGAUCGGUAGGGGGUCUGAGAGGAUGAUCCCCCACACUGGUACUGAGACACGGACCAGACUCCUACGGGAGGCAGCAGUAAGGAAUAUUGGACAAUGGGCGCAAGCCUGAUCCAGCCAUGCCGCGUGGAGGAUGAAGGCCCUAUGGGUCGUAAACUUCUUUUAAACGGGACGAAACCCCUCGACGUGUCGAGGGCUGACGGUACCGUAAGAAUAAGGGUCGGCUAACUUCGUGCCAGCAGCCGCGGUAAUACGAAGGACCCGAGCGUUAUCCGGAUUUAUUGGGUUUAAAGGGUGCGUAGGCGGACCUAUAAGUCAGUGGUGAAAGCCCAUCGCUCAACGAUGGAAUUGCCAUUGAUACUGUAGGUCUUGAGUAUAGUUGAGGUGGGCGGAAUGUGUCAUGUAGCGGUGAAAUGCUUAGAUAUGACACAGAACACCUAUUGCGAAGGCAGCUCGCUAAGCUAUAACUGACGCUGAGGCACGAAAGUGUGGGUAGCAAACAGGAUUAGAUACCCUGGUA
rnacentral:rRNA from 1 species